CUGAUCUUAAAGAAUUUUCUCGACCAAUAUUCUAUCUGCUCGUGAGGGUUAUUAAAUUCUUCCCCCCUCAAAAGAAUUCGUCCCCGAAUUCUAAAAACGUAGUUGUACACUCUUUACUGAACAGUCUCUGAAAGGAGUUCUGGAUAUUAGAUCUGACAUUAUCUUAAUCUGCCCAUAUCAAAACAACUCAUGUCGAUCCCUUGAUUCCCCCAACCGAUCCUUUCUUUUCUGAGCAGCCACUUUCAAGAUAACCAAAUUCUUUACUCUGCACAAUUCCUGUCAACUGCGAUCUGCAUACUUUUUCUAACAAUCUUGUAUCCGUAGACUAUUACUUCUCAACCUUUUCUAUCUGGCUC
rnacentral:lncRNA from 1 species